rnacentral:rRNA from 1 species
AGGACGAACGCUGGCGGCGUGCUUAACACAUGCAAGUCGAGCGGAAAGGCCCUUCGGGGUACUCGAGCGGCGAACGGGUGAGUAACACGUGAGCAACCUGCCCCUGGCUCUGGGAUAGCCUCCGGAAACGGGGAUUAAUACCGGAUAUUCACUGUCUCCUGCAUGGGGGGUGGUGGAAAGUUUUUCGGCUAGGGUGGGGCUCGCGGCCUAUCAGCUUGUUGGGGGGGUGACGGCCCACCAAGGCGACGACGGGUAGCCGGCCUGAGAGGGCGACCGGCCACACUGGGACUGAGACACGGCCCAGACUCCUACGGGAGGCAGCAGUGGGGAAUAUUGCGCAAUGGGCGGAAGCCUGACGCAGCGACGCCGCGUGCGGGAUGAAGGCCUUCGGGUUGUAAACCGCUUUCACCAGGGACGAAGCGGAAGUGACGGUACCUGGGGAAGAAGCGCCGGCUAACUACGCGCCAGCAGCCGC